GAAAUCUACAGGAAAAAGAUUUGCAGAAAUGUUAGCAUAUGUCCAUAAACAAAACCAUGAUCAAGAUUAAGGCCACAGUAUUUAAUCUGAAUAAUGCCUUGUUUACAUUAGGGAAAGGUCAUGUGUUCUACUACAAGCACUUAGCCAAUUUGAGCUAAGAGGGCUAAUACAACUUUUCAAUAUCCAUAUGGAAUCCUUUGUUUUUUAGGAUAAUGUUUGAACUUGCAGAAAUGGAGCAAAGUUUUUGUUCCAUGAGAAACAAUAUAAAGUCUGAUGCAAAGACAGAUAUUGUGUGCUACAUUGUGCUAAGUGUCCAUGACAACACUGAACAAGCAAACUAGGUUUCCCAUGUCACACUAUAUUUGCUCAAGAUUUAAUUUUAAAACAUGUAAUAAAAAAAAGUAGCAUUUCCCCAUACUUUUUGCUUUAAAUGGCAAAAAUCAACGGCACCUCACAUAAAUUUCACUGUAGUGUGAUUUACCUGUCAAUAGUCAGAUCUAGUCCACACUGUUCCCUGAGCUGAGGAAGUAGCUCCUCUUUUGACUGCCGCACAGUCAUUCCUUUAGCAAAAACAGAAUCUAGAAGAAACUUGCAGGGCUGCGAAAACAAAUGUAAAAUUAUUAAGCUUAUUAGAUAAAUCACUCUCUGACACACUCAUAAAAGGUGAAGUUAUAAAAUACAGGGCUGCUGCCAUAGCCUCCAUAGCAUUGAAAAAAAUACCCCAUGGUUUCCACACAUGAUCACCACCAAUGUGACAAAGACUAUUUAGGAUUUCUGUUUAUCAGGUAUGCAGAACUCAGUAAUAAAGCAAUGCAAUUUUUAAAAAGGUUGUUGUUAUGUGUCAUGUCCAUUUAAUGAUUAAGGAAAAUACAUGUCACUGUCUUGUGUUGUACAAAGUCAACAUCAAUGGUUUAACCAAUUAUUGUUAGUAAUGGGGAAACAAUACUGGACCAGUUUAUUUUAUGUAUUUCCUCAUGCUCAUAUUCAACCAUUCCUUCCAUGGGUGCAGGGAGUAGCUAGGAAACAAAUAUUGAGUGCUGGUUCAUACAACACAGUAAUCCAAGGCUGAUACGGUUUUUUGUUCCCAGUUCAAGGAUGAGUGGAGCAAAGAAGAGCAAUUCAGCAGCAUGCAAUAGUAAGCCAUGGUUUAUGGUUCACCAUGACAUGUGAGCACAGUCAGAGGCUAUUUAGAAUGAUAAUGACACGUAAUAGAAAUGAAUUACUUUUAAUGUGCUAAAUCACAUGCAAUAAUGCAUUCCACUGAAUUUUUGCUUCUAUAAUCUGCACCUUCUCUGUGGCAACUAAGUGACAACAGAUUCAUGCCACAAUUUAUAUGUUAAAUGCACAUCUUUUCCCAGAGAUAAUUUCUGUUUUUUGUCACACUGGCUCCCAUAAAAAGAUGAUGCACAUACUCAAAUAAUUAAACUGUAAAUGGUCCAACUUUCAGAUGAUAAGCUAGCCCAAACACAAGUUUUUUCAAGCUUUACUUACCUCUGGAUCAUUUACCAAGAGCUGAUAAACCUUGACUCUGUAUUCACCUUUCUUCAAUGCUCUCCCAAGCCGAAUUGUUAUCUUUUAAAUUAGGGGUGGGAAAAAUAGAAACAAGAUUAGAUGUUAGCUGUCUCUUAUCAUCAACAUGGAAUAUAGUCAAUACCAGGCAUGUCAAGUGGCGGGGGCUGUGGAGUCUUCAGCCCCCCAAAAUUUUUCAAGAAAGGGCCUGGGCCUCCCCCAAAAUCCUGUGGCCCGCUCCACCUCCUUGCUGAUGUUGCACGGGCAAGAGGAGGCCAAGUGUAGAGCCCAGAGGCUGCACUUCGCUGGCUCCUCCCCGCCUGAUAUUGUGCGGGGAGGAGGCCGAGUGCAGAGUACAGCUCCGCACUCCCCAUUCCCCACCCGGUGUGUGAGCACCAGUAUCUCGCUGGCAGGACGCCUGUGCAUCCUAGCUAACCCGCUACGUGGGAGCAGGAUACGUGAAGUGGAAUGUGACAACACAUCACACAAUACAUCCCCACAAUGUGGGGGUCAAGUCGACGCCCUUAGGUCAAUACAGCAAGAAUCAUAACCACCAGAAGGCCCACAGAUUUUUGUUAUUUUGAUAUUACAGGCAUGAGGAAAUGGUUGCACCGCAAAAUUUAGAGUCUCAGAUUUUAGGAGGGUGAAGGAAGGUGUGGCAAGAAGCUUUAAAAAGGGUGUUCAACAGACUCAAGUCAGGGAUAUUUUUUUUAAUGUGGAAUAUACGAUUUGGUUUAGAUGACCCGCCAAAGUCAUCUAGCUACAACUAAGGUGAAGAGAAAAUACAGUUUCAAUUAUGGAAUAUAUAUAUUUAACAAAGUUUCAUAAAUUACCCUAGUUGUAGAAUGUGGUUUUUCCUAUGUAGCUACUAAGUCCCUAUAUUGCAACACAGAGACAAAUGCUUCACAUGCAAAAUAUCUGAAUAAUCCCCAUAUUCUGUACCUUACUACAUGUAUUUCAGUAUUUAACAGCAUAUUUUGCUAACCUUGUUGUCAUCUGAGAAGGAUGAAAGGGUCUCAUUCAGCCGAACACUCUCAAACUCCUGAUUGCUGGCAUAAACUCGAAAGACCUUAAACUGAGAGGAUGGAACGCCAACAAAAGGCUCCAAGUGUUGUUUGAAGGCAGAGAGCGUAAUUCUUUUAUCAACAUGAAUCAAUAGCCCUAAAGCGAAA